rnacentral:rRNA from 1 species
AGCAGCCGCGGUAAUUCCAGCUCCAAUAGCGUAUAUUAAAGUUGUUGCAGUUAAAAAGCUCGUAGUUGAAUUUCGGGAUCAGUACGCUGGUCGUGCCUUUGGUAUGUACUGGUGUCACUGAUUCCUCCCUUCUGAAGAACCGUUAUGCCAUUUAUUUGGUGUGGCGGGGAAUCAGGACUGUUACUUUGAAAAAUUAGAGUGUUUAAAGCAGGCUCGCGCUUGAAUACAUUAGCAUGGAAUAAUGAAAUAGGACGUUUGAUCUUAUUUUGUUGGUUUCUAGGAUCGACGUAAUGAUUAAUAGGAAUAGUUGGGGGCAUUAGUAUUCAAUUGUCAGAGGUGAAAUUCUUGGAUUUAUUGAAGACUAACUACUGCGAAAGCAUUUGCCAAGGAUGUUUUCAUUAAUCAAGAACGAAAGUUAGGGGAUCGAAGACGAUCAGAUACCGUCGUAGUCUUAACCAUAAACU